AAUUUUCAUAAUGAUGUUAAUUAAAGCCCAUUUGUAAAAGUAUCUAAUAGAAAUUGAUCAAUUGAAGAUAAUUUUAAUAAAUGGUGUCAUUAGAUUUUAAUUGUAAUUUGUAUGAAAUAUUAGAAAUUUAUCAUCAAAAUAUAACAGAAAACGAUAUUAAAAAUGCUUAUCACAGAUUAAUAAAAAUAUAUCAUCCUGACAAAUCAAAUGGUAACCAUGAUAAAUAUUAUCAAAUUAUAAAAGCAUGGGAAAUAUUAAAAAAUAAGACAUCUAAACAUUUAUAUGAUAUAUCUAUAGAAAAAAACAAAUCUACUUAUAUAUAUGAUGAAGUUAAUAUAGAUGAGCUCACAAGAAAUGGUGAUGAUUAUACAUACCCAUGCCGAUGUGGUGAAAGUUACUUUUUAGAUUUUAGUGAACAAAACAAACAAUCAAAUUUAUUAAUACCAUGCUCUAAUUGCUCAUUAUUUUUAAAUGUUAAAAGCCCUUAUAUAUUUUAAUAAAAUAUAGAA